UAUAUUUCAAUGCUUUUCCAUGGAUUGAAUCAAAUGAUUCUUCAGCCUUAUAAUGUUUUCUGUAGUACUCACCAAUAUUGAAGAACAUCUGUAAGCGAAGACUUAUCUUAUUAAAUCAUAAUUAUGAAGUGAAUACUGUUAACAAUGAAACUUUUCAAAAAUAUGUGUCAUCAGAGUUGCUGACACCUGUAAGUCAGCUUCUGAGUGUCUCGGAGCUUGCAUAGACUGAAUGAAUUUUAGAGAAAGAGACUCCUCCGCCCCCUGGAAAUCAAGAUAUAAAAAAAGAAAAUUUGAUGGGAACCACCAUUAUCAAGAAGGAGACCACAUUUCCAAAAUGGUUGUUACGGCGAGUCGACUACAUUUCUUUGCAUCACAUUUUGGAACUUCGUGACCCCAGGAAUCAUUAUACUUACCAAUCAAAUCAUUUGUCUUUAUUACUUCAUAGCAUUACUGCUGCGCCCAACUGAUAUUUUGGUAUAGUACUUUGAAUGUGAAAUGAAAAAAAGAAGGAGACUACAAUUUCGAAGGCUCUCACUCGAACAGAGUUUGUGGAGAAAUAUUACACUCCUUGAUAAGAGAUUGAAUCUCUUAAAAACAGGAAGAAAAUUAAUGAAGGAAUUCUUCCCACAAAAAAGGAUAGAGAAGCGAAAGUUAUGAUUAAUACACAGAUAAUUAAAAUAAAAGUGGAGUAGUGAGAACCGUUUUGCAAUCACAGAGUCAAAUCCAAGGUGUCCCACCCUGGAUUUGUCUUUGUGACUUUGGGUGAGGCACAGAUGGCACCUGAUCAACUUAAUUAAAAUCAAAAUCAAUAUUUGA